rnacentral:ncRNA from 2 species
GUAAAAUUAAUGACGAGAAGAAGUAAAUUUAGCCGAAUUCCAAGAGAGCUUCUGGAUGCUGUGAAGAAGUAAUGAGGCGAAUUGAAAUGCAUCUCAGAAAUGCCAAGAUGAAGACAGUAGUUUUGGUCGGGACACCGUUAUCUGGUUGAGGCAUUUUUGCAAAGAAAAGUGGAACCACGCUCAAGCGGCGUCUUUUGU